UGCUUCAACUCCGUAUAUAAAAAAUACCGACCCUAAGCUUUAUCCAACUUCACACCUAAUUACAGAGUAUAAGUUUAUGACCCAGCCUGAACAAGACACAACCGAAUCUAAUCAGCCCACCCGAAUAUGAAUGUCCAGUUCUUCCAGAGGACCUCUACCCAACCCGAUCACAAAUCGGGCGAAAAGCAGAAAAAUAGGGUUCCUAUAAAGAGCUGAUGAGCAUCACAAGUGGAACAUUGUAGAAUGAGGCUAGGAGAGGCAGUGGGAGUUUCCGAGGACCGUUUGCCACUAUCCUUUGACCGGUACCGCCGGUCAAAUCAGCCAAUGAUUUCUCCGAACAAACCAAACGGCCCUCAAGCACAAACAACCUUCUUCUUCGUCUUCCCUUUCCGUUUCCCACAGUUAUCUGUGCAGUCUUCUGUUCAGAGCAUCUUAUUACUACUCCGUAUUUUUAUUUAUUUAUUUAUUAUUAUUAUUAUUACUUCCUCCGUUCCUUUUCGAGGCAAUGAUGAAUCAAAUCGUACAAAGUAAUCCAAAGUUUUUUCUGGGUUUGGCUGCAUUUUCCGAUGUGGGUGGUUUAUCAUUUGGCCUGGCGCAACUAGAUGGGCAUUUGGUUGCGGUGGUUGUUGCGACGUUGAUGGUGGUUGAUGAUGAUUGGAAAUGGAAACUUAGGCUCUGUUCAAUUUGGUUCACCUUAUUUUUUUGUUAUGCCAUCUUUGUUUGAUUUGCCGCCAUGGUAAAACUUCCCCACUUUGAAUCUGUUCCCCCAGAAAAGCUUUGAUGAAAUGUGGAUCUGAGCCUCCCCAAAUACUCCCUCCCAAAAUAAAUGAUCAGAUUCAUGAAUUUUCUGCAUGUAGAGAAAUUCCGAGUUAAUCUCAGUGAUUGGGAAAACGUUCUUGGAUGAAUUGAUUCUGUGAAUGUUUGUUGCUUUGAAAGUGAUGAAUGUUUCUGGCUUCGUUUUACACGAUACAGAACAUGAUACUAUUAUGUAAUUGUUUGUUGGUUUUGCAGGUUUCAUGAAGCUGUUAAAGAGGGGCAAAAUUGAAGCUGAGGUUGACGGGUUUUUUUUAUUGUGUUGUUCGGAUGCCUUGCCCGACGCAGAUGCUGUCAACUUUGUGGAAGCUAUUAGUGUUCAAAGGAAGGAUUGUUUAUCCCUUCUUUAGAUUGGCAUUGCCAUGGCACAAUCAUGGUUCAUUGCUCGGAGGGAGAGAAUAAUAGCACGCUUUUCCCUUGCUCUCUUCUUUCUCUUGGGAGAUUUGGCACCUUUGCUUUUUCUUCCUUAGACUUGCUCUUUGGAGAUAAGUUACACGAGGGUCUACCCAAGUCCGCUUCCUAACUGCAAUCAGUUCAGUUUAGAUAACAGUUCAGAUUAGUGAAUUUAAGGUGAACUGAACAGGGCCUUAGUGUGUGUUUUAUGUGGAUGCCAACGACAGUACAACAAUAAGGUUUAUUGAUUUUUUGUUGUUUGGGUAAAAGUUACCCUGAUGUACAAUAAAUUUAUUGUACAUCAGGUGCGUGCAAGACCUUUUGAUUUGAACCUGGCCUUAUGUUGUUUUUGGGGCAGUGAUGAUACAUUUUCUACUUGAAUAAGUAGACUGGCAUGGGAAAAGGUUGGUUUUUCCAUUGGCCUGGCAGCAGUAAGCUGACGAGCUGUACUUUGUUCGCCGCCAUGGUACUGACCACUGACUUUUGUCUCAUAUGCUUGAUCAAAGGCGAAUCUGAGCCUCCUCCGUUUGGGUUUCAGUUUAUAUGCUUGCUGGUGUUGCCUGAUUUUCUGAUGUUUGUUUGGUUUUCAGUUUGUAUGCUUGCUGGUGUUGCCUGUAUUUUUUUAUGUUUGUUGAAAUGUUGUGAAGGUUUUACAAGUUAGAAAAUGCUAUGCACUGUCUCAAAAGCUGCUUGCCAUUUGUAUUUGCUAGUCACUGGUUUGCCAUUUGUAUUUGUUUUCCAAGGAUGAUGUUUGCAGUUGGCAGGGCAGCAGCCGAUCUGAUGAUCUCUGGUUUUUUCUUUUUAUGGCCAUCUGAUCUUGGUGCUGCUAAUCAACUUCCUGGUGCCAACCAACUACUGUCUCCACAAUGGCACCAACUACUGUCUCCACAAGCUCAUGUCACACCAGUUCAAUUUGCUGUUCUCUGUCUCUUGGGCCUAAGGCAAACAAACUAGCUAAUAACUGACAUUUUUCAUACAUUUUUAGAUUUUGAUGAAAACACAAUUACUGAUAGCAAACACAGUUGGAAUUACUGAUAGCAAACACAGUUGGUUCAAUGAGAACACUGAAUUGUAAGAAUGAUGAUUUUUAUUGGGAACUUUUUGGAUAAAACCACCUUUUA